AAAUAUCUCAUAACUUCCGUGCCUCUCCAACUUGGAUCCGGGGGACGCGAAUGCCAAAUGGAUUUUAUUUUAGUUUUCGAGGAGGGGGGUCAGACGCUCCUGUUUUUCCUCGGGUCGAAAGUGAUCCAGUCCUGGGUGAAUUAUUGUCAUGCGUAAUUUACUGCCACGGUGCUUGCAUGUAAACCAAGCAGUCCGGCACCUCCCCCCCCCCCCCCUUCCUCUCUCUCUCUCUCUCUGUGUCUCACACACUCUCUCUCCCACACACACGCAUGUGAACUGGAGCUCCAGCUCUGUUUCCCAUUCAUCCGAGCGAGUUUGGAGUGGCACCUCUCGCCUUCUUUCUUUUUUUCCUCCUCCGCGGGGCUUCACAUAGUCCCCGUGAAAACGGAUUACAGUCAGUGUGUGACCUAUAGGGGGACCUGGUGCUUAAUGAAUAUAUUGAUUUAAAUUAGGGGGGGAGGGAGGGGGGGAUUUAUGGAUUCCUAAUUUUUGACUGUGUUUUA